rnacentral:rRNA from 1 species
ACAUGCAGUCGAGCGGGGUGAUGUAGCUUGCUACAUUACCUAGCGGCGGACGGGUGAGUAAUGCUUAGGAAUCUGCCUAUUAGUGGGGGACAACAUUCCGAAAGGAAUGCUAAUACCGCAUACGCCCUACGGGGGAAAGCAGGGGAUCUUCGGACCUUGCGCUAAUAGAUGAGCCUAAGUCAGAUUAGCUAGUUGGUGGGGUAAAGGCCUACCAAGGCGACGAUCUGUAGCGGGUCUGAGAGGAUGAUCCGCCACACUGGGACUGAGACACGGCCCAGACUCCUACGGGAGGCAGCAGUGGGGAAUAUUGGACAAUGGGCGAAAGCCUGAUCCAGCCAUGCCGCGUGUGUGAAGAAGGCCUUUUGGUUGUAAAGCACUUUAAGCGAGGAGGAGGCUACCGAGAUUAAUACUCUUGGAUAGUGGACGUUACUCGCAGAAUAAGCACCGGCUAACUCUGUGCCAGCGGCCGCGGUAAUACAGAGGGUGCGAGCGUUAAUCGGAUUUACUGGGCGUAAAGCGUGCGUAGGCGGCUUUUU